rnacentral:rRNA from 1 species
AUUGAACGCUGGCGGCAGGCUUAACACAUGCAAGUCGAGCGGGCGAGGUUGCUUCGGUAACUGAGCUAGCGGCGGACGGGUGAGUAAUGCUUAGGAAUCUGCCUAUUAGUGGGGGACAACAUUCCGAAAGGAAUGCUAAUACCGCAUACGCCCUACGGGGGAAAGCAGGGGAUCUUCGGACCUUGCGCUAAUAGAUGAGCCUAAGUCAGAUUAGCUAGUUGGUGGGGUAAAGGCCUACCAAGGCGACGAUCUGUAGCGGGUCUGAGAGGAUGAUCCGCCACACUGGGACUGAGACACGGCCCAGACUCCUACGGGAGGCAGCAGUGGGGAAUAUUGGACAAUGGGCGCAAGCCUGAUCCAGCCAUGCCGCGUGUGUGAAGAAGGCCUUUUGGUUGUAAAGCACUUUAAGCGAGGAGGAGGCUACUUGGAUUAAUACUCUAGGAUAGUGGACGUUACUCGCAGAAUAAGCACCGGCUAACUCUGUGCCAGCAGCCGCGGUAAUACAGAGGGUGCGAGCGUUAAUCGGAUUUACUGGGCGUAAAGCGUGCGUAGGCGGCUUCCUAAGUCGGAUGUGAAAUCCCUGAGCUUAACUUAGGAAUUGCAUUCGAUACUGGGAAGCUAGAGUAUGGGAGAGGAUGGUAGAAUUCCAGGUGUAGCGGUGAAAUGCGUAGAGAUCUGGAGGAAUACCGAUGGCGAAGG